rnacentral:rRNA from 1 species
GAUGAACGCUGGCGGCGUGCUUAACACAUGCAAGUCGAACGGUGAAAGAGAGCUUGCUCUCUGGAUCAGUGGCGAACGGGUGAGUAACACGUGAGCAAUCUGCCCCUGACUCUGGGAUAAGCGCUGGAAACGGCGUCUAAUACCGGAUACGAGCUGCGAAGGCAUCUUCAGCAGCUGGAAAGAACUUCGGUCAGGGAUGAGCUCGCGGCCUAUCAGCUAGUUGGUGAGGUAACGGCUCACCAAGGCGUCGACGGGUAGCCGGCCUGAGAGGGUGACCGGCCACACUGGGACUGAGACACGGCCCAGACUCCUACGGGAGGCAGCAGUGGGGAAUAUUGCACAAUGGGCGAAAGCCUGAUGCAGCAACGCCGCGUGAGGGACGACGGCCUUCGGGUUGUAAACCUCUUUUAGCAGGGAAGAAGCGAAAGUGACGGUACCUGCAGAAAAAGCGCCGGCUAACUACGU